CCUACGGGUGGCAGCAGUGGGGAAUAUUGCGCAAUGGGCGAAAGCCUGACGCAGCGACGCCGCGUGAGGGAUGAAGGUCUUCGGAUCGUAAACCUCUGUCAGCAGGGAAGAACGGUCACUGUGCUAAUCAGCAGUGAAUUGACGGUACCUGCAAAGGAAGCACCGGCUAACUCCGUGCCAGCAGCCGCGGUAAUACGGAGGGUGCGAGCGUUAAUCGGAAUUACUGGGCGUAAAGCGCUCGUAGGCGGUAUGUCAAGUCAAGGGUGAAAUCCCCGCGCUCAACGUGGGAACUGCCUUUGAAACUGGCAAACUGGAGUGGGUGAGAGGAUAGUGGAAUUCCAGGUGUAGGAGUGAAGUCCGUAGAUAUCUGGAGGAACAUCAGUGGCGAAGGCGACUAUCUGGAACAUAACUGACGCUGAGGAGCGAAAGCGUGGGUAGCAAACAGGAUUAGAUACCCUAGUAGU
rnacentral:rRNA from 1 species